GGGUAGAUAGCUCAAUGGUAGGGCAUAGGACUUAUAUACCUAAGACCCAAGGUUCAAUCCC
rnacentral:tRNA from 1 species